rnacentral:rRNA from 1 species
AUGCCGGAUGCUCCAGUUGAUCGCAUGGUCUUCUGGGAAAGCUUUCGCGGUAUGGGAUGGGGUCGCGUCCUAUCAGCUUGACGGCGGGGUAACGGCCCACCGUGGCUUCGACGGGUAGCCGGCCUGAGAGGGCGACCGGCCACAUUGGGACUGAGAUACGGCCCAGACUCCUACGGGAGGCAGCAGUGGGGAAUAUUGCACAAUGGGCGCAAGCCUGAUGCAGCGACGCCGCGUGAGGGAUGGAGGCCUUCGGGUUGUAAACCUCUUUUAUCGGGGAGCAAGCGWGAGUGAGUUUACCCGUUGAAUAAGCACCGGCUAACUACGUGCCAGCAGCCGCGGUAAUACGUAGGGUGCAAGCGUUAUCCGGAAUUAUUGGGCGUAAAGGGCUCGUAGGCGGUUCGUCGCGUCCGGUGUGAAAGUCCAUCGCUUAACGGUGGAUCCGCGCCGGGUACGGGCGGGCUUGAGUGCGGUAGGGGAGACUGGAAUUCCCGGUGUAACGGUGGAAUGUGUAGAUAU